CACCUUAUCAUAAUUCUUGGGUUGAGAAGAUACCAAGUGACAAGAAUGAUGAGAAGAAAGAGAGAGAGAAAGAGAGAGACAGAGAGUGAGAAGCCUCAGCAUGUUUAUAUAUAUGAGCAUGCUACUCUUGGAGUAAAGAAUGUAAAGGAAACUAAGAAAAGAAAAUCUACGAAGGAGUGAGUGAACAAGAGGAGCAGGUUAAGAAGGUUUCAUAUUUUCCUACUAUUUCACUAUUUUAUUUCAAUCAUACAACUAAGAACUGAAGAAACCGAAGGAAACACUGAGGCCUUGUAAGGCGACACCCAGCCUUGGUUAGCUUGAAGAGUGCCCAAGAUCCAUGAACCAUUUUUCUAAGUUUCUAGUGGUUUUUUUUUUUUUUUUUAAUGUUAUAUUCGUGUUGUUUUUAUGUACUAAGACUAAAUUUUAAAUUUUUAUUGGAGUUGUAAUUUAAGAACUUUUAAUUUCUCGGUUGUUAAUUAAUGCUAGUAAUAUUGGAGACAUCAUUGAUGA